UACGAAGGAGGCUAGCGUUGCUCGGAAUGACUGGGCGUAAAGGGCGCGUAGGCGGAUGGCACAGUCAGAUGUGAAAUUCCCGGGCUUAACCUGGGGGCUGCGUUUGAUACGUGCGGGCUUGAGUUCGGAAGAGGGUCGUGGAAUUCCCAGUGUAGAGGUGAAAUUCGUAGAUAUUGGGAAGAACACCGGUGGCGAAGGCGGCGACCUGGUCCGAUACUGACGCUGAGGCGCGAAAGCGUGGGGAGCAAACAGG
rnacentral:rRNA from 1 species